AGAUUGAACGCUGGCGGCAUGCUUUACACAUGCAAGUCGAACGGUAACAGGCCGCAAGGUGCUGACGAGUGGCGAACGGGUGAGUAAUGUAUCGGAACGUGCCCAGUCGUGGGGGAUAACGCAGCGAAAGCUGCGCUAAUACCGCAUACGAUCUAUGGAUGGAAAGCGGGGGACCGUAAGGCCUCGCGCGAUUGGAGCGGCCGAUAUCAGAUUAGGUAGUUGGUGGGGUAAAGGCUCACCAAGCCAACGAUCUGUAGCUGGUCUGAGAGGACGACCAGCCACACUGGGACUGAGACACGGCCCAGACUCCGUACGGGAGGCAGCGAGUGGGUAAUUUUGGACAAGUGGGCGCAAGCCUGAUCCAGCAAUGCCGCGUCGCGAAGGAA
rnacentral:rRNA from 1 species